UUCAGUUACCUAAAAUUAAGAAAUUUUAAUUCCCGACUAAAAAGGAGAGAAUUUGAAAAUUUUUGCGUUGGCUCAUCCGAUCCUUCCUCACACUCUCGCCCCACCCUCCCUCACUAUCACUUUCGCACAUGUUUUAGAUUCAAAAUAUUCGUGCACAUAAACACAAUGCUCCCCCCUGUCGGUGGAGGAUUUGGCGUCCCUGCCGUUGCUAGACAUGGCGGCGGAGAAGCGAAUCGAGGGGCUGGCGAUGAAGGUCGGAGAGAAUCUUUUCAAUUUCAUGCAAUCAUUUUGCGGUGUGGAUGGGUGGAAACUGGCAGUCCAAUUUUGAAAGAAAGCAAAAGAAAAUGGUUCGAUGGAAACCGGGUCGAGUUUGGAGUUCUUAGAUAGAAGGAAGGCUAUGAGGGGUGGCACUGGCAAGAGACAUGAUGUUGUUAAUGAUGCAAAGUUGAGCCUUUUGUGGCAAGAAGUGAUCAUAAUCCUAAAGAGUUGAAGUCAUGGGCAAAGAGAACUGGGUUUGUGUCUGAUUACUCUGGGGAAGCUGGGACUAGUGCUAGUGAGAAUUUUGAUGGUGUUGAUGAUCAGAGAGAAGGAGGGUCCCCUCCAAAGAUAGAGAUUGAUCUGGUGCUGGGAUUGGCGAGGCCUAAUUGAGACAAUGAGAUUAAACCAGUCUUUGUGACCGAGCAUGGAGACAUGAGGGGUGAGAAUGAGAGAGUUUUGAGGUAAAAGGAUGUGUGGAAUGGUGCAGUGGGGAGCCAAAAUCAGAAGAGGAAAAUUGGGGAUGAGCCUGCUUUGCCUUUGGCUGGUGAUGGUGACAAGAAAAUUGGGUUAAGAGGGAAUGGAGAUGCUAAUGGAAUGACAGUGAGCACGAAUCGUGAUAUUAAUAGUCAUGGAGUUCCUACAGUUGCUCCUCUGCUAGAGCAGAAGAAGGAAGAGGAAGGGGUAGCUGAAGAUGUGAAGGUGAAUCUUUUUCCAGAGGGGGAGGAACCUGUUGGUAGAGGGUGGCAGGGAGCAUCUGGAUUGAAGUACGAGAUCACAAAAAAUCCGGGUCUUGCUUAGUUUGAGUUUAAUUUUAUGUUUCUCACGUCUAAGUUAGAGUGCUAAUUUUGGAUAAUUCUGAAAUAGUCUGAUUGGUUUAACUUGAAUUUGGUUACUAAAAUUCAAUGUCUUAACAGUUAUGCCUUAGCCUGAUGGUAAUAUAGUAUAUUCUAAUCAAUUUCAUUAAUCAUAUGAUCUUUGAAUGGCAUAGUAUUAUUUUUUCUGCAUUCUAACUUUCUGGUAUGUAGUAAUGUUACUAGCUUCUGUGUUUGGGUAUUCACAAAUCACAAGACCAACAACAGUUUGUUCAAUUAUAAGCUGGAGAUUGAUCCUCAAGUUUAAGUCCACGCGUUAUGAAUUUUAAUAAUUACCUCUUAUCUAUUACGGCUUGCAGCACUACCUUUCAUUGGCUCGCUCGUAUUAAUCCCAUUAAUCAUGGCACCAACCAUGGGUGGAACAGAUGUAACUGAAGCAAUAGAAGGCAUAAUUAGAAAAAGGUGAAGCGUGUGAUGCUUCUAACAUGUCAUUUGAAUACUUGGUGGAAGAUGAGGAUGGAAAAGGGUCAAUGUAGAGAGUAAUGGGGAGUGGGUCGUACCUAAUAUAUGCAUCUGAAAAUGGCUACUACUCUAAACAAAAAGGAUUGGAGAAUGGUCAAUGUUGAAGGAUUAGAAAAAUAAAUUUCAUGUGGUCUUCCUUUCUUCAGUGAUGACUGAUGAAGGAGGUACAUGGUUUGGAGAUGGUAGAUUUUCAACAAAUAUGAAUUGAAUUGUUAAAAUAUUACAUAUACAAUGAGUUUUUGAAUGAAAAAACU